UCACGACCUCAGGCUCCUCCCUCCGUGUCUACCUGUCCAAAGGCUUCUCAGUUAUCUGUAACCAUAGCAACCAGGUCAGCUCGGACGAGCACACAACAAUGAUUAGGGACUUUUGUUUCUCAAAUCCUGCCCCUGAACCACCGGGCGCUUUCAUCGCCUUUGUCUCUGUCACUGUCAUUAAGGUUUUGGUGAUAAUUGCCAUAACAGCAGCUUUUGUUGGACAUCGAAUAAAAGGAAAACAUGAAAGUGUGGACACGGAAAAUACAGUGUACGAAGAUGUUCAGGUAAAGUUACGUGAUCUUUUCUAACAUCUGUCUAAGUGAGAUUACUUUACUUGU